UUAAGUUCAGCGGGUAGUCCUACCUGAUUUGAGGUCAAAUUCAUUGAAAUUUUGUUGAGCACAGUUAGAAGCAGUGCAAUCUGUUCAUGCAGAAUACCAAAAGGCAUAGAUAAUUUAUCACACCUAAUAGCAGCAGUUCUGCUCAGAUACUGCUAAUGCAUUUCAGGGGAGCAGAGCCUUUCUGAAAAAAAGCCUGCAAA
rnacentral:misc_RNA from 1 species